CCUACGGGUGGCAGCAGUGAGGAAUAUUGGUCAAUGGGCGCGAGCCUGAACCAGCCAAGUAGCGUGAAGGAUGAAUGCCCUACGGUUUGUAAACUUCUUUUAUAAGGGAAUAAAGUUAUGCACGUGUGCCUUUUUGCAUGUACUUUAUGAAUAAGGAUCGGCUAACUCCGUGCCAGCAGCCGCGGUAAUACGGAGGAUCCGAGCGUUAUCCGGAUUUAUUGGGUUUAAAGGGUGCGUAGAUGGUUUGUUAAGUCAGUUGUGAAAGUUUGCGGCUCAACCGUAAAAUUGCAAUUGAGACUGGCAGCCUUGAGUAUAGUUGAGGUAGGCGGAAUGCGUGGUGUAGCGGUGAAAUGCAUAGAUAUCACGAAGAACUCCGAUUGCGAAGGCAGCCUACUAAACCGUCACUGACACUGAUGCUCGAAAGUGUGGGUAUCAAACAGGAUUAGAUACCCGAGUAGUC
rnacentral:rRNA from 1 species